AGGCGAUGAUGAUAUGUGAUCUCGUGUACCGGAGAUGGAUGCGUCCAUCGGUGAUGGCAACACAACCCUCUAAGAAGUUCUGAGCCU